ACAGCUGUGCAUAAUGAUGGUUUGUAUCUCCUAACAAUUAUGUUUUAACAUUUUAUAUGUUAUGACAUCUGUUGUGACAUUCUCUGCUAGGUUGAUUGACAUUUAUUUUGUCUAAUUGGUCACCUAUGAUCAAAAUUUUGACUAAAAAGGGGGAGAAGUGAUUAUGUGGAGCUGUGUGGAGAUGUAUGUGGAGCUGUGA
rnacentral:lncRNA from 1 species